rnacentral:rRNA from 1 species
GGAAUAUUGCGCAAUGCCCGCAAGGGUGACGCAGCGACGCCGCGUGGGCGAAGAAGCUCUAAGGAGUGUAAAGCCCUGUCAGAGGGGAAGAAGGAUUCGGCUUCGAAAGGUGUCGGAUUUGACGGUACCCUCAGCGGAAGCUCCGGCUCACUCCGUGCCAGCAGCCGCGGUAAUACGGGGGGAGCUAGCGAUGUCCGGAAUCACUGGGCGUAAAGGGCGUGUAGGCGGGCUGGAAAGUCAGUUGUGAAAUAAUAUGGCUCAACCAUAGAGUGUCAUCUGAAACUACCGGUCUUGAGUGCGAGAGAGGGUGGUGGAAUUCCCGGUGUAGCGGUGAAAUACGUAGAUAUCGGGAGGAACACCGGAGGCGAAGGCGGCCACCUGGCUCGACACUGACGCUGAGGCGCGAAAGCGUGGGCAGCAAAC